UCCUUGAUUCAGAUUCAACACAUCCUCUCCUAUCCCCCUUCUCUCUAGGCACUACGUUGCGCCCACCUCCAAAUCCUGCGUUGCUGCCUCACCUCCGCAGCCUCGUUUUCGCUUGCCGCCUGGCCGACCGUACUCGCCGACGACCCGAAGUAAGCAUUAUGCGAUGCAACCUAGAUCUCAAUGCCAUCCGUUUCGCCAGUUGGUGUGCCAUCCUGUAAAUUGACGGAUUUCCCUCAUCCUGUCGUCUUCGUGAUGCCAAAGGAAGUCGUGGUUAGGAGCAUAUACAUGAUCUGAUGUCUGAUGAGUUCGUUUCUGUUGGUCGGUCGCACUAAGGAUGGAUACAUGAUAUUCUUGACUUGCCCUGGCUUAUCUCUCAAGUUAGCACCUGUCUCAGCUUCUCACGGUGUCUGAUAGGUCCUUAGGAUUAUAGAUCCUGAAGAUAAGUUCAGAUCCUAGAUUGGGGAUGUCCACAUGUGUACUACCUGAUGAGCUGGUAGUAGACAUCCUGUCUCGACUGCCGCUAAAGUCCUUGUGCCGCAUCAAAUGUGUCUGCAAGUCUUGGCUUGCCCUCUCAUCUCAUCCAUACUAUCGGCAAAAGCUCCCAAGAACUCCCGCUGGCCUCUUGUACCAGAAAUUUGAGCGUGGCAGAGUUGCCUCCCCUCUUGGCAGUGCCAUCCAUCUCGCCAGAC